rnacentral:rRNA from 1 species
GAUGAACGCUAGCUACAGGCUUAACACAUGCAAGUCGAGGGGAAACGAUAGAGAAAGCUUGCUUUUUCUAGGCGUCGACCGGCGCACGGGUGAGUAACGCGUAUCCAACCUGCCCACCACUUGGGGAUAACCUUGCGAAAGUAAGACUAAUACCCAAUGAUAUCUCAAGAAGACAUCUGAAUGAGAUUAAAGAUUUAUCGGUGAUGGAUGGGGAUGCGUCUGAUUAGCUUGUUGGCGGGGUAACGGCCCACCAAGGCGACGAUCAGUAGGGGUUCUUGGAGGAAGGUCCCCCACAUUGGAACUGAGACACGGUCCAAACUCCUACGGGAGGCAGCAGUGAGGAAUAUUGGUCAAUGGGCGAGAGCCUGAACCAGCCAAGUAGCGUGCAGGAUGACGGCCCUAUGGGUUGUAAACUGCUUUUAUAAGGGAAUAAAGUGAGCCUCGUGAGGCUUUUUGCAUGUACCUUAUGAAUAAGGACCGGCUAAUUCCGUGCCAGCCGCCGCGGUAA